AAAUAUUCAUGUGACUUGCUUUAUUGUGAUACUCGCUUUUUUGUAAUGGUCUAGAACCAAACCCGCAAUCUCUCUGAGGUGUGCCUGUCCAAAGCAUGCACAGCAUAGAUUAAUUACAGUGAAAAAAUUUGCUUUCAGUAGGAAUGGAUGCUAGUAGAGUAUGGGGGUUAAGAACAACAGGGUGUCGAGGGGCAGCAACGUUGAUUAUUGCCUGCAGGUCCUGGACAGACCUCCAUCCUCAGCCAUUGGGCUUUCUCACAGGUUAUAUUUAAUAGUAUUACAGAGACUAGCACAAGGGCUAGUGAGGCUCUGAGCCUUGGAAUCCUCUUAUGGGCUUUAUACCUUGAAGGGCUUCUUUACUCAUAGGUUAUUGAUUAGUUCUGGGGAGAGGUUUCGAGGGGCCUAUUUGAGUCUUAAUGGGAAGAGUACUGUGAAUUUUGCCAAUAUCAGUUGGAGAUUUUGCCCAUAAGGAGGAUGGUAGCUGACUCAGUAGGGACAAAUGAUCAACGUCUCCCGAAUCAGCUCCAGGACCGUCAGAGACAAAGCAAAGCAAAGACAGCGAAGGGUCACUUAAUUCACCUGGUUGGCUAUUUUGACUGUUACUGUGAAAUUCUAGAAUUAUUUCCCAUUUUAGGAGAAAGAAAUUCCAGCAUAUUUGCUGAGCCGUCUUGGCCCAAUAAAUGAAUAGGGGCGGAGAGACUAAGGAGGGAAGUGUGGGUAUCUCUCAGGGGCCUAAACGAAAAGGAACAGGUUCAGAGACAGGACCCUGUUGAGGUUCCUCAGAGACCCCCACUAUUUGGAUCACUUUCGUGCUCCGAGGCAGGGGCUGCUUUACCACAGUUGAACUGAGAGUGUGGCUCUGGUGCCAAAAGAGAUUCAUUCCCAAUCUGGAGAGUUGUUUUUCUGAGCUGAUGAAGAGGGAGGGUUGGGAAGAACCCCUGUGGUUCCUCAGAGGCCCGUUGGUGGUGGUCAGGAGGGCGUUGGAAAGGCUGGUUAGAGGGCUGAAGGCACUUGAGGCACUUAUACUUGUGACAAUCUUUUUCCCAAAGUCCUGGCUUUUUGCAAUAAUAGCAGGAAUUAGGAGGAUUUGGGUUUUGUUUAGGGACCUUCAUUUGCUGGAGUUGAAGGUUAAGGGUUUGAGUGGACUUCCUUUCAGUUGAAUAGAGUGCAGAUGAGUUGGUGGCUAAAUUAGCUAAAUCUGGAGUGGACGCGGUUUCCGGUUCAACCCUGGUCCUUUCAUCUAGAAGGGAAGGAUCCCAGUUACGCCUGCUAAUGAACACAGAGUUAAAGGCUACCUGAGUGGAUUUGUUACCAAAGCAAACUUGGGUCUGAUCGUCCAUGGAGUAAAGCCGAUCUCCUGACACCAGUGUGUGAUGAAGGAAAGGGCGGCGUUUAUUGCAGGCGCCAAGCAAGGAGUCCACGCAGCUGGUGCUCAAAAGGCCCGAACUCCCUGAAGUCUUUCAGGGGUCAUCCCUGGGGUCUCUUCGGGUCUUCUCCCACACACAGCUCUGCUGGCAGUUCCAGCGACGUCCUCAUGCACCCCACCCUGCGCAAUGAGUUACCAGGGAAACGGUGGUAUCUGGAGGAUGCAUGUGCAGGAAGGUGAGUCACAGGCUGUCAAACCUGAGGGCACAGGAGCCCCCCACCCCCGAGGCCUGGUUCAAAUGGCAUGUUCUGGGCCCGCCCCCAGGGUGCCAGACCCACCAGGUCACCUCGGGCUCCCCUGAGACCCUGGGAAAGAGCUAGACGGAGCAUGGGGGAGAUUCCUGGCUAGUCCAGAGCGGGGUCAGCACAGCCUGUGGGCUCUUGUUCCCACAGGGCCCAGCGGGCUGCAGCCCCUGGGUGGACGCAGCCCUCAGAACAGCCGGUGCUGCUCCCACACGUGUUGGUCAGAAACCGCGGUCACCAGGCCGGGCUGCAUCACAGCACCUCGUGUUUAUUGGAAAUCCCCACAUUCCGUGGAAAAUCGAGGGUUUGCCGUCUUCCAACUCAAUUGCUUCGCUAGCGGCCGUCUGGGUUAGAGAUGGUGGGGGCGUGUGGCCCUCAAGGGAGCAGGAGGGAGGCCCUUGUGGCGAAGGGACCCACCGACCGGGCUGCCCCCUGAGUGCAAAGCGGGCACAGGGAGCCUCACCUGUGAGAAAGGACUCAGCACAAGCAGGGUCUCCUGGUCACAGUGUCCUAGCAUCACGGAAGAUGCAAGCAUUGCAGGAAACUCGGUGCAGGGUACCCCGGACCCCUCUGUGCCAUGUGUGAAACUUCACGUGAAAAAAAAAAGGUUUUUCGAAAGCGAGCUGCUUCAACAGUUUACCCAACUAGCUCUA